CUUUCUCUUUCUUUUUCUUUUAUUAUUGUUGUUUGUUUAUUUGUUCUUGCGUUGGGAGUGAUCGAAUUGGGAGAAAACAAGAAAUAAACAGACAAAGAUGCCAGGAUUAGACAAAGCAAA
rnacentral:ribozyme from 13 species